UAGGGAAUCUUCGGCAAUGGACGAAAGUCUGACCGAGCAACGCCGCGUGAGUGAAGAAGGUUUUCGGAUCGUAAAACUCUGUUGGUAGAGAAGAACGUUGGUGAGCGUGGAAAGCUCAUCAAGUGACGGUAACUACCCAGAAAGGGACGGCUAACUACGUGCCAG
rnacentral:rRNA from 1 species